GCUGGUGCUGUGCUCAGCUGGAAGAGCAUGAGACUCUUAAUCUCAGGUUCGUGGGUUUUGAGCUCCACGUUGAGUG